GACGAACGCUGGCGGCGUGCUUAACACAUGCAAGUCGAACGGAAAGGCCCUGCUUUUGUGGGGUGCUCGAGUGGCGAACGGGUGAGUAACACGUGAGUAACCUGCCCUUGACUUUGGGAUAACUUCAGGAAACUGGGGCUAAUACCGGAUAGGAGCUCCUGCUGCAUGGUGGGGGCUGGAAAGUUUCGGCGGUUGGGGAUGGACUCGCGGCUUAUCAGCUUGUUGGGGGGGUAGUGGCUUACCAAGGCUUUGACGGGUAGCCGGCCUGUGAGGGCGACCGGCUACAUUGGGAUUGAGAUACGACCCAGACUCCUACGUGGGGCAGCAGUGGGGAAUAUUGCACAAUGUGCGGAAGCCUGAUGCAGCGACGCCGCGUGCGAGAUGGCGGCCUUCGGGUAGUAAACCGCUUUCGCCUGUAACGAAGCGUGAGUGACGGUAAUGGGUAAAGAAGCACCAGCUAACUACGU
rnacentral:rRNA from 1 species